rnacentral:rRNA from 1 species
CGCGUAGGCGGCCAGUUAAGUCAGAUGUGAAAUCCCGGGGCUCAACCCCGGAAGUGCAUUUGAAACUAAUUGGCUUGAGUAUGGGAGAGGGAAGUGGAAUUCCUGGUGUAGCGGUGAAAUGCGUAGAUAUCAGGAGGAACACCGGUGGCGAAGGCGACUUCCUGGACCAAUACUGACGCUGAGGCGCGAAGGCGUGGGGAGCAAACA